rnacentral:rRNA from 1 species
UACGAAGGGGGCUAGCGUUGCUCGGAAUUACUGGGCGUAAAGCGCACGUAGGCGGUCUUUUAAGUCGGUGGUGAAAUCCUGGAGCUCAACUCCAGAACUGCCUUCGAUACUGGAAGACUUGAGUCCGGGAGAGGUGAGUGGAACUGCGAGUGUAGAGGUGAAAUGCGUAGAUAUCGGGAGGAACACCUGUGGCGAAAGCGGCUCACUGGACCACAACUGACGCUGAGACGCGAAAGCUAGGGGAGCAAACAGG